rnacentral:misc_RNA from 1 species
GACAAAAAUAAUUAACGUUGAGAACUCCAUUUGCACAAUUGGAGAGGCUCCUAGCGAACAUAUUGACUACCAGGCUUACUUAAACAGACCUACCACAGGUGGUGGGGUUUGGUUUAUAGAAUCCAAUGGAAAUAAGUCUAGUCUAGUUUCAGGUUAUAAGGCAUCCCCUGAAGAAAAUGAUUUCCAGAGUUGUCUCAGUGCCUACUUUGGUCCUGAAGUUAGCCAAAUCAGAGAUACAGUGGACAGCUGUUGUCAAAGUGUGCUUGAGGACCUACUCAGUUUCUUAGAAUCUCCAAAGGCAGUACUCAGGCUAAAAGAUUUGGGCCCGUUUCUACAGGAUAACUGUUAUGCUAGCAUGUCAACCAUUCUGGCAGAGCUCAAGAGGGUCCUCGAUAAGUUAAAUGCUACCAUGGAAAAUGCCAGCAAGGAAAGUCUUUCUGUGCCNNNAGCUACAGUUGUUGAGAGAUCCCUUUUUGUUGGGAGACUGUUGUUUGCAUUUCAGAACCACACAGAACACAUUCCAUUGAUACUUGGAUCUCCAACGUUUUGGACAAAAGAUACUGUGGCUGCAGUUUUUGACAAGUUACCAUCUGUAUUGAGGCAAUCUCGAGUUGCCAUAGAUUCUCCAAUUGCUGAUAGUCCUGGCAGGCAAACACCCACUGGUUCUAGACGACAGACUUCAUCUGCUACAGCUGCUUUGCUAGGAGCAAAUGAAAAUGCAAGCCCUAAACUUGAAGAACUAGCCAGAACCACCAGGGAUCUUUCCAUCAGAGCUCACAACUUGUGGAUGUUCUGGUUAUCUGAUGAGCUUUCGGCCAUUCUUGCUCGAGAUCUUGGAAAGGAUGACGGAUUGUCAGCUAUUACUCCCUUGAGGGGCUGGGACGAGACAGUAGUGAAGCAAGAACAAUAUGAUGAGAACUAUUCUGAAAUGAAAAUAUCACUCCCAUCCUUGCCGUCUCUCUAUAUUAUUUCUUUUCUGUUUCGAGCAUGUGAAGAAAUUCAUAGGAUUGGGGGUCAUGUACUUAACAAAUCGAUUCUGCAAAAAUUUGCAUUAAGACUACUGCAAAAGCUUAUUGAAAUUUAUGAGGACUUCCUUUCUUCUAGAGAUUCCCAUCCAUCUCAGGUGUCAGAGAAAGGAGUUCUGCAAAUACUCUUAGACCUAAAAUUUGCUGCAGAUGUUCUUUCUGGGGGUGAUUCCAAUAUGACUGAGGACUUUUCUAAAAGUCCCAUGAUAAAAGUUUCUUUCAGAAGGAAGCAGGAGCAAAGUCAAACAAAGUCUGUCUUUAGAGAGCGUAUUGAGUGGCUAAUUAGCCGUUUUUCACAAAAAUUGGAUCCAAUAG